UGUCAUUGUUACGUUUGAAUUGCCGCAUUGAUGCGUAUGCUCAAUAUUUACUCACUCAUUCUUGUAUGUUUAAUGAUAGCCAACCUAGUAAUUCAGGUCUACUUUUUCGUAUUUUUAGCUAAGAAACAUUUAAGGGACAAUCAGUGUCCAAAUGCUUGAUUCUGCUUUAAAUUUAUUAUUAUUCUCUCUUGUGAAGACCUCCAAAUAUACGCAUCUGUUUCAACGUUGAUAACUAAGUAUAAUUAGGAGACAUCAAAUUAAACAUACAUUUAGUUUAAUUUAUUCAUAGAUUGGUUAUUUGUGAAGCUAUGUAAUAUACUCUGUUGAAAAAUGA